rnacentral:lncRNA from 1 species
UAAUAGUGAUUCUCAUAUUCAUUAUUUCAUUUGUUUUUAUUUGAUUAUUUUAAUAAAUUAAGUUAUAUAUUUUGAUAAGUUAAUUCGUAAUUUGAUCAAAUUAUAUUUCAUACUGCAUUUUAGAUAAAGUAUGCAACGACCCGACCCGCUAACAACAAUAACUCGUUGGGUCCAAACCACCGGCCCAAAAUACUUAAGCCCAGUUAUUAUUACUAGCGUAUAAGUUUCAUAUAAACUGAUCGAAAUCAGUAUCCCAUCCGAUGUAGGACUAUUGGGGGGUUACAAAGUAUGUGUAGAGUUUCUUAAUAAUUAACAAUCAAUAGCAAAUAAGUUCAUUAAA